rnacentral:rRNA from 1 species
AAUAGAUACCCUGGUAGUCCACGCCGUAAACGAUGAGUGCUAAGUGUUAGAGGGUUUCCGCCCUUUAGUGCUGCAGCUAACGCAUUAAGCACUCCGCCUGGGGAGUACGGCCGCAAGGCUGAAACUCAAAGGAAUUGACGGGGGCCCGCACAAGCGGUGGAGCAUGUGGUUUAAUUCGAAGCAACGCGAAGAACCUUACCAGGUCUUGACAUCCUCUGACACUCCUAGAGAUAGGACUUUCCCCUUCGGGGGACAGAGUGACAGGUGGUGCAUGGUUGUCGUCAGCUCGUGUCGUGAGAUGUUGGGUUAAGUCCCGCAACGAGCGCAACCCUUGAUCUUAGUUGCCAGCAUUAAGUUGGGCACUCUAAGGUGACUGCCGGUGACAAACCGGAGGAAGGUGGGGAUGACGUCAAAUCAUCAUGCCCCUUAUGACCUGGGCUACACACGUGCUACAAUGGAUGGUACAAAGGGCAGCGAAGCCGCGAGGUGGAGCCAAUCCCAUAAAACCAUUCUCAGUUCGGAUUGCG